GCCUGGGUGGCUCAGUUGGUUGAGUGUCCGACUUCGACUCAGGUCACGAUCUCGCAGUCCGUGAGUUCGAGCCCCGCGUCAGGCU
rnacentral:tRNA from 1 species